GACGAACCGAGCGAACGUUGUUCGGAAUCACCGGGCUUAAAGGGCGCGUAGGCGGUCCGAUAAGUCCCGUGUGAAAUCCCUCGGCUCAACUGAGGAAUGGCACGGGAAACUGCCGGGCUUGAGUUCGGGAGAGGGAAGCGGAAUUCCGGGUGUAGCGGUGAAAUGCGUAGAUAUCCGGAGGAACACCGGUGGCGAAGGCGGCUUCCUGGACCGACACUGACGCUGAGGCGCGAAAGCUAGGGGAGCAAACGGG
rnacentral:rRNA from 1 species